CCAAUAGCGUAUAUUAAAGUUGUUGCAGUUAAAAAGCUCGUAGUUGAAUUUCGGGGUUAGUAGGUUGGUCAUGCCUCUGGUAUGUACUGGUCUCACUGAUUCCUCCUUCCUGAUGAGCCGUAAUGCCAUUAAUUUGGUGUUGCGGGGAAUUUGGACUGUUACUUUGAAAAAAUUAGAGUGUUUAAAGCAAGCUAACGCUUGAAUACGUUAGCAUGGAAUAAUGAAAUAGGACGUUCGAUCCUAUUUUGUUGGUUUCUAGGAUUGACGUAAUGAUUAAUAGAGAUAGUUGGGGGCAUUAGUAUUCAAUUGUCAGAGGUGAAAUUCUUGGAUUUAUUGAAGACUAACUACUGCGAAAGCAUUUGCCAAGUAUGUUUUCAUUAAUCAAGAACGAAAGUUAGGGGAUCGAAGACGAUCAGAUACCGUCGUAGUCUUAACCAUAAACUAUGCCGACUAGGGAUCGGAUGAUGUUAAUUUUUUAAUGACUCAUUCGGCGCCUUACG
rnacentral:rRNA from 1 species